GUUCCAGGUGAGAGGUGAGUCGGGAAGAAGUAGUGAGGAGACGUCGCUGGAAGAGGCAGCGGAGGGGAAUAGAGAAAUACAAAGAAGAUUCUAGAAGUCACCACAGAAAUCAUCAAACUGCUGAAAGGAGACAUGAGCGGUGCUGGGAAGGACAUCAUGAUGGAGAAUCAGCCGCCCCUCACAUCACCGGAUGGAUCCAGUAAUGGGAACCCCCCAGAGAGAUGUCCCCG